UACGAAGGGGCUAGCGUUGCUCGGAAUCACUGGGCGUAAAGCGCACGUAGGCGGAUUGCUAAGUCAGGGGUGAAAUCCUGGAGCUCAACUCCAGAACUGCCUUUGAUACUGGUGAUCUUGAGUCCGGGAGAGGUGAGUGGAACUGCGAGUGUAGAGGUGAAAUUCGUAGAUAUUCGCAAGAACACCAGUGGCGAAGGCGGCUCACUGGCCCGGUACUGACG
rnacentral:rRNA from 1 species